rnacentral:rRNA from 1 species
AAGGAAUAUUGGACAAUGGGGGAAACCCUGAUCCAGCCAUGCCGCGUGAGUGAAGAAGGCCUUCGGGUUGUAAAGCUCUUUUACCCCUGACGAUAAUGACGGUAAGGGGAGAACAAGCCACGGCUAACUUCGUGCCAGCAGCCGCGGUAAUACAAAGGUGGCAAGCGUUGUUCGGAUUUACUGGGCGUAAAGCGUGCGUAGGCGGUUUGACAAGUCAGGAGUGAAAGCCCAAGGCUCAACCUUGGAAUUGCUUUUGAAACUGUCUUACUUGAGUCCCGGAGAGGUUAACGGAAUUCCCAGUGUAGAGGUGAAAUUCGCAGAUAUUGGGAGGAACACCAGUGGCGUAAGCGGUUAACUGGACGGGUACUGACGCUGAGGUACGAAAGCAUGGGGAGCAAAC